AGUGAACGCUGGCGGUAGGCCUAACACAUGCAAGUCGAACGGCAGCACAGUAAGAGCUUGCUCUUACGGGUGGCGAGUGGCGGACGGGUGAGGAAUACAUCGGAAUCUACUUUUUCGUGGGGGAUAACGUAGGGAAACUUACGCUAAUACCGCAUACGACCUACGGGUGAAAGCAGGGGAUCUUCGGACCUUGCGCGAUUGAAUGAGCCGAUGUCGGAUUAGCUAGUUGGCGGGGUAAAGGCCCACCAAGGCGACGAUCCGUAGCUGGUCUGAGAGGAUGAUCAGCCACACUGGAACUGAGACACGGUCCAGACUCCUACGGGAGGCAGCAGUGGGGAAUAUUGGACAAUGGGCGUAAGCCUGAGCCAGCCAUACCGCGUGGGUGAAGAAGGCCUUCGGGUUGUAAAGCCCUUUUGUUGGGAAAGAAAAGCAGCAGGUUAAUACCCCGCUGUUCUGACGGGACCCAAAGAAGAAACACCGGCUAACUUCGG
rnacentral:rRNA from 1 species